GGAAAAAAGGAAAAAAAAAAGGAAAAAAAGGAAAAGAAAAAAAGAAAAGUCUCUUUUAGUCACAAAAUAUUGCCACGUUUUAUAAUCUCUGACUGACAAAUUUGCCUUCUUAAUACUGUUUGAUAUUUAUUAAUUUCCAAAACAUCAGUGAGAAACUUCUUGAUGCCCAAAUCAUAACCCUGUUUAUGUAUCUCUUAACAGAAUCACAGAAUCAUCUAGAUCUUGAUGUCAUGUAGCAAAAUCCUAGCAUGUGCUCCAGACCAGCCACUCGUGUUUGAACUGUGGGGACCCUCUCACCACCAUUAUUUAGUAAUGUGUGUGUUAGGGCUAAUAUUAGUAUUGGAGAGUGACAUUAUUGAAUAUAUUCUGAAGACCUUUGAGAGUACUUCGAAGUUGCCGGGAUCAGCAGAAUCACUACUCCAAGCUUUGCAGUCUCAACUUUUCUUCUUACCAUGGCUUACCAGACAAGCGUUUUGGAGAAGGAAUCACUAGAGACUUUGCUAAUACCAUCAGUACUUUCCUAACUCCUGACAACUCUUCAUGUCACACAUUGUAGCACGGCAGUGGCUUUCCCGUAAUGGCAUUGCAUCAGAAGUUUAUGAUCAGCUUGUGUUUGACCACAACUGAAACAAGCAUGUUUCUACAGACCAACAGCAUCACAGCAUCUUGAGCAUCUGACAGAGGAUGUGUAGAGAUAAGUGUUUUAGUCAAUCUUUUUUUUUUUUUUUUUCCCCUAGUCAGCUGACACUUUAAAUUAUUUCAAAAAUGUCACUGUUCACUUUGUAACUUCCAUUUUAAAACCACAUGGACAAACACAAAAGAUUCCAUAGAUGUUGGACUUAAGCUUAAGAAUUUAAAUGAAAACCCACCAAAACAUUCAAAAUUAUCAGCACUAAAUGACAGCAACAGGUCUGCAGUAUUUCUUUUCUCAAAUACUUAUGUAAAAGCAUGCAUAUAUUUCUAUUUCUUUAUGGAAGGGGAAGAAGAUAUAGUAUUUAUAGGGAAUUUAUUAUUUUUUUUUCAGUUUACAUUCUAAGCUUCAAAGUUGCAUGAAAGACACAAUUAGUUUAGUUUACUGGCACAUGACCUUUGUAAAAUUUAGCAAGCAGCAAUCUGAAGAAUUAAAAGUAUCUAUUACUAAAGACAAGAGCCUUGGUUUCUGCACUGUAGCAAAUGUGGAAAUACUUCUGGAUAAACUUAAUAAUUAUGUAGAACAAAUGAUGAAUGAUUUUUUUCCCAUCAACUCUUUCUCCUUCAUUACAUUCUAGAUUGCCAUCCUAACAUCCAAAAUAAUAAAAACUGAAAUCUUUUAAACUGUCACCAUACACCAAGUUCUGUAGCACUAACUCUGAAUAUCAUUUUUGUCUUUUCAUAACUGUGAAAGAAAUGAAAUGCCAGCUUGCUAAUUCCUCUCACUCACCUACUAACUAACCAAGUUCUGUUUUAGUCAUUGUAUGCUGCUGCAGACACACAGGAAUGUGAGGGUGAAGCUCUUCACUUAAAUGGCUGUUUUACUGCUGCUUCAUAUCUGGGACCAAAGAACCAUAGAAAAUAUUGGGAAGAUAGGUCUGGGAUACCUCUGACUUCCAAUCUACUAACAGCAGCAAAAUGAAAACUGGAGACGUUGAAUGAUAAUAAAACAACUGAGUUGGUAAAAACUCGACUGAUGGAGCUCUCAUGUGGAACAUAUUGUGUCUACAAUGUUACAGCUUGUACCAGGCUCCAGGACUAAUGCCACAGCUGUGCCAGCCAUCGGCAUACAACAUUGAGACUCUGCUGCUGGCUUAGCUUGGGAAAUCCUAUGGGGUGUUCUCCCUCAGGAAAUCACAGGUAAUGAUGUCUUAGUGUGAUUUAUUUUUAUUUGUGCAUCUAACUUUGCAUAGUAUCCUCUUUCACAGCAGUAUUUGUAUUUCUUGGAAAAUUUGGCAAACAGGAGUAUUUAACAAUUUGUCAAUGAAAAUUUAAAUGGUUGAGACUUUGUGGAUGCACUUGAUACUGACGUGAGGGGUGUGAUGUAAUAAUCUUAAAGGGCUGUGGUCAAAAGAUUAUGUUACGUUGCUUCCAUCUUAAAGCAGCUACCUGAGAGAAAAUGUUUUCUAGCAAAC